CCGACUGCAUCGGCGUCUACUGCAACUUCCACGAAGGCUUUCUGUCCUUCUACAACGCCCGGACCAAGCAGCUGCUCCACACCUUCAAGGCCAAGUUCACGCAGCCCGUGCUGCCAGCCUUCAUGGUGUGGUGUGGCAGCUUCCAGGUGACCUCGGGCCUGCAGGUGCCCAGCGCCGUGCGGUGCCUGCAGAAGAGGAACAGCACUGCCAGCAGCUCCAGCCUGCCCUGAGAGCCGUGCCCCCUCCACGGGCACCCCCCUCCCCCAGGGCACGAGCACUGAAUGUACCCC